AGUCCACGUUGGGAGCCUGCAGCGCUUCCGGGUCCGUGACGACCCCGCCGGGCACGAUGCGCUCAAAGGCGGCCAGGUCCUGCUUAGACACCGUGGAGAACGGCAAGCGCCGCACGGGGUAGCGCUCCCGGGUCAGGGGCACCUCGGGGUUCCCAGGGGCGGAGCAGCAGCCCCUGCUGGCCAGGGGGCCAACCGGCCGACCCCAAGAACCCGCGGCUCCCGGGGCACCCCGGAACAGCCACGCGGGCCACGCCAGCGGCCGACGGGGCAGCAUCGCCGCCAGGACGGAGACCUCGGGCUCCUCCUCGGGUGGGGGGCCGGUACUCAGGGCCCGGAGGGGAAGGGCCGGGAGCCGCUGGCUGCGCGCCUGGAAGUGGCCAAGGGCACCGACUGGCUGACGGUGCCCGAGAUCGCGCCCCGCCACCCCGACCCGCGGCUCAACCGCAGCCCGGGCCCCUCAGCCCAGCGCUCUG
rnacentral:antisense_RNA from 1 species